AUGGUCAGUUUGAAGGAGAGAGAAGAGCAGUAUCUCUUCUCUUUUCUUUUAAUAUCUCCUUGUAAUGGCUGCCAAUAGCUCCUUAAAUCAUUCAUUCUCUCUAUUUAGAGAUUUUCUUUCUAAUAGCCCGUUUCCUAGAAGAGAGCUCUUGUAGGAGAGCGGCUAAGGUACUGAUAGAAGAGUUGGAA